UUUCAUCUCUCAUCGUAUUCUUCUUCUAUGGCUCUCACUCUCGUAUGCAUCAACUUUCCCUGUCAUCGACAAAAAUCAAUCUCAAACCAAAACUUCCCUAAUCUUCUCCUAUGAUUUACUCUUCUUCUUUAUCUCAUCUUUUCUCCUAACCUUUUUUUUUUUUUUUAGUUUAUUAUGUGAAUUAUGCCAGGGAAAAUAUAUCUCUACAAAAUUUUGUUCUGGUUGGGAAGAAGGAACCCUACCCAUCUCCAUAUUCAAGGAAAAUGCUUUGAGAACUGUGUUAUUGUGGAAGCUUGAUAAUGUAGAAAAGAAUGACAAAUGCCAAAUAACAAUGAUAUCCACAUGGUCUUCCUCAACACAUGGUGGUUCAUAAAUUCACUAAAAAGAGAAAGAAUGUGGUCAUAGUAUAUGAUUGAUUGAGAGGCAGAGACAAUCUUUCAUAUUAGCAACUCAAAUCUUUCACGCACUCUAUCUCUCGAUUGGACUCGUCGUACUAGUAGGAAAGAAAACCAUGAAAGAGAAUCUAUUAGCAAAACAAAGAGAGAAGCAGAAAGUUACAUGGGAUGGUUUGGGUGAAGAAAUGAAGAGGAUCAUUUGCAUAGCAGUGCCUAUGGUAAUUGUGACUGCUACCCAGUAUUUAUUGCAGGUUGUGUCAAUCAUGAUGGUUGGUCACCUCAAUAACAAUCUCUAUCUCUCUGGCGCCGCCUUAGCCAUCUCUCUUGCCACCGUUACUGGUUUCAGUGUUCUUGCAGGAAUGGCUAGUGGACUGGAAACUAUUUGUGGACAGGCUUAUGGAGCUCAGCAAUAUGAAAAAGUUGGAGUGCAAACAUACACUGCUAUAUUCUCUCUCACAGUCGUUUGUCUUCCCCUAACUUUCAUUUGGAUCAGCAUGGAAAAGAUCCUAGUUUUCAUAGGCCAGGACCCUCUAAUUGCACAAGAAGCAGGAAAAUUCUUAAUCUGGCUUGUUCCCGCACUUUUUGCACAUGCAAUUAUGCAGCCGUUUGUUCGAUAUUUUCAAAUGCAAAGUCUGCUUCUUCCCAUGCUUAUAAGUUCUUGUGUCACUCUUUGUAUCCAUAUACCCCUUUGUUGGGCUUUGGUGUUCCAGACUGGAAUGAAUAAUAUUGGUGGAGCAUUAGCAAUGAGCAUUUCAAUAUGGUUAAAUGUGACUUUUCUUGGAUUAUACAUGAGAUACUCUCCUGCUUGUGCAAAAACCCGUGCACCCAUUUCUAUGGAGCUGUUCCAAGGAAUUUGGGAGUUCUUUCGCUUUGCUAUCCCUUCUGCAGUGAUGAUUUGCCUUGAAUGGUGGUCGUUUGAGCUGCUUAUCUUGCUGUCUGGGCUGCUACCGAAUCCACAACUUGAAACAUCAGUUCUAUCCAUUUGUCUCAACACCAUUAGCACUCUCUUUUCAAUACCUUUUGGAAUUGCUGCUGCUGCAAGCACAAGGAUUUCAAAUGAAUUAGGAGCAGGGAAUCCACAUGCUGCCCAUGUUGCUGUGUUGGCUGCAAUGUCUUUUGCAAUCAUGGAGACAGCUAUAGUUAGCGGAACCCUCUUUGUCUGUCGCCAUGAUUUUGGUUAUAUUUUCAGCAAUGAGAAGGAAGUUGUUGAUUAUGUCACUGUCAUGGCUCCUCUGAUUUGCAUAUCUGUUAUACUGGACAGCAUACAAGGCGUUCUCGCUGGGGUUGCUAGAGGUUGUGGAUGGCAACACAUAGGGGUUUAUGUGAAUCUAGGGGCAUUCUACCUUUGUGGGAUUCCUGUUGCUGCCACACUGGCAGUUUUGGCUAAAAUGAGAGGAAAAGGACUUUGGAUUGGUGUACAAGUCGGUGCUUUUGUUCAAUGUAUUCUAUUUUCUACCAUAACAAGUUGCAUAAAUUGGGAACAACAGGCUAUCAAGGCAAGAAAAAGGUUAUUUGAUAGCGAAAUUUCAGCAGACAAUAGACUCGUAUAAGAAACCCAUGAUCAAAGGCCGAUUUUCUAAUGACAUGAACAACUCUCCAUGAAUGAGAAAGACUUCAAGAGGCUUGGAGUCGUGGUUUUAAGAGUAAAUGAUUUCAGAUUCUACUUAUGCCAUAUCGAUUAUCAGGAGUACCAAUAUGUUCCACCCCUCUGCAGUAAUCAUCAAAAGAAUUCAAGCACUUCUCUGUUUAAGUAGGACUGUUCAUGUUAGACAUACAUUACAUCAAGGUAAUGCAUGGGCAGAUUUCUUAGCCAAAAAGAGUGCUUCUCAAGAGAAACAAUUUCUAACUUGGAAUGAUCCCACUUCAGAAGACAUAUCCACUGUACUGAUGGCAGAUGCUAUGGGUGUUGCAUUCACCCGAGAAUCGUAGUUAUUUUUUUAGGUUCUUUGUGUUGUUUUUAUUUUAUUCCUUUUGUACCAAAAAUAAAAUACAUUGAGCUCCCCUAGUUCUAAUAUAUGUAUAAUUAGUAUUUUAGUUUGUAUUUUUUUAAAAAUGUAUUUUUAAUGUGAA